CCCAGCUUGAACAAUAAAACUUCCAUGUUAAAUCUGUUGUGACAAUCAAUUGUACAAUGUUCACCAGCAUGAUCAUCACCCAUUGUUGUGAGUGGGAACACAAAAUUUGAGCAGCAUAUACCAGAUUGCAUAUUAAUUUCAGGAUCGCAUUCUAAGUUUCAGUCACCUUCAAAUUUUACUGCUAGACCAGGUCGUCAUUGCAACAACUCCGUACUCAAAUGUUUUAAACCAAUAUGCUGGCGCUAUGCAUUUUCAUGGCAUUGUGAAUAUAUAUCCUUCUUAAACUUUGCAACACAGAAAAAUCUUAAAGCAAGUGGAAUCAGCUGCUGACUCAAGUGGAUUAAACUAGUAACAAGGUCAUC
rnacentral:misc_RNA from 1 species